CUGCGACUUCGGCCCCAAUUUCUUCUACCGUAAUUGCCCCGGCGUAGUUAGCUCUGCCGAUCGAGAUAGUUUGAGCCGAACCUUUACUCUCCCAGUGCACAUCAAAGAAAGGUGGAAGUGAGACAAUGGACCUGAUUGAUUGCAGAAUAAAAGUUUGGUAGCCAGUGGACAAGCGGUUUUAUGGAGUAGUGAAGUCUUAUGACUCUGAACAUAAGAAACAUGUGGUA